AAAAAAAAAAAAAAAGUGUUCACUACAUUCUUAUUUAUUCACUUGGUAUGCUUGUGUAGAAGUCAAAUGAAAACUCUGUGUGCACCAUGUGGGCCUGAUAGACGGACUCAAGUCCAUCCUGUCAGCAGGUGUUCUGCCCACGGAGCCAUCUCAACAGCCGUAGCUGAAUGUCUUUUGGCAUCUUAACACACUGGGCAUGAAUAGCACACAGGCUGGUACCGUCAAAAGGCUAACCAGAUAGACCUCCUAUAAAGUGCUAGUAUCUCCACUCUGGAGUACAGAUCUGUUUUGAAGUCCAGGGCGAUUUCUCACACUGAUGCUGGAGGGGGAGCUUGAGAGUCAGAAGUUCAGUGGACUGCUGGUGGUGUCUAAUUUUACAGUGACACACUGCCAAGCCUGUAGACCUGUGGCUCCUUCACCUGUGUAGUACAGGAUGCCCCCUAGGGAGUGGCUUUUGUAGUCACUGUUUCCUGGGUGCUUUACCAUGUAGGGAUUUGGAGGUAGUCUACUUUGUCUGAGCCAUAAUGUAGAAAUGCCCUUUCUUCUUUCCUUUCUCUCUGACAGGAGCUCAUUGAGAUCUUGGACCUAGGCAUACAAAUCCCAAUGUCAUUUUCUAUUCUGGGAAGUUUUUCUGUUGAAACAACUCCCUUUCUGUCAUAGCCUUGAGGUGCCUAGAGGAAGCAAAGCAUGGGUAGAAGCCAGCUUUUAGUAACUGUGUCAGAUAGUCAGGCUCCAUUCAACUGCUGCUCUUUAUUCCUUAGGUGAGAUUUGUUAAGACCCAAAGGACCGCUGCACUUGCUCUCUCUCCUGAGAUCCAGUAGCUACCUGAACGACAGCAAUGCAGCUGUGUUUACCCCGUUCGUUCAUCACCAAGUCCCCUCUAAAAGGCACAGAGCAGGACUCAAGAGGUGCUGACUAAUGAGGGCUGACGAAUGCAUCUUCCUCCAUCAGGUUGAAGAAUCAGGGCUUGAGAGGCUGUGUAUACAGGAGUCAGGCUCCUCAGCCAGCACCAGGGGUCUGAUUUUCUUCUCUAAGCUGGUGUUGAGGUGUCAGUGAAUGAGAUCUGAGGAUACUCCUUCAAAUAGCCUGAGUGCUGAGCCUUGUAAGUGGGCUUUGGUAAAUUCUCUCCUGUCUGGUUCCUAAGUGUAGUAACUGUUAACUCCAUCCACUGGGAAAAGCUGAUGAAACUUGUAGCAAAUAGACAUUGUAGCAAAAGUUGUAUUUAUAUUUCCUAGCGGUUAGGCUACUAGGACCCAAGAGGGUGGCUCAGCUCAGAGGCAGACUUUGCCUUAGACCUUCCCUGGUGUGUGUGUGUGUGUGUGUGUGUGUGUGUGUGUGCACAAGUGUGUAAGAGAAGGGUAAGGGUACAGGACAUCUAGCUCAGAGAGGAAGUUGGUGUCAUGAUGAAAGUGUAUUAAGCCUCCUGAGGAUGACAGUCUUGCAGGUAUUUGAGAACAGAUUUGGUCCCUUUCCCUCUUGCUUUUCCUUUCAGGAGAGUGACUGGCAUCUUCAGCUGGAGCUGUGUAUCUCAGCUGUAGUGGCCUGUACUCAACCGUUUUGUCCCUUUCUAUCCACAUCUCAGGUUGUUCUAUGAUUACCUUUGCGGUCACACAAUGGGCCAGGUAACAGCUUGCCUCUUUGUCUGCUGGGACAUUUAUAUGUUCCUUUCACAAUAAGAAAAGGAAAUCAGAGUGACUUAAGCCUGUCUGUGCUUAUGGUUAGGUCAGCCAGAGUGGCUGAGAUCAAAGUUACAAAGCAGCCUGAUCUCUGAUCUGAAGCCCGGACCCUGGAGGGGCCCAGAGGCCAGCUCCUUAGACCGUUCCAUGACACUGCCCAGUUGAACAUUCAAAGCAAGAACUUCCUCUUCUUCUGGUCUUACAAACUGUU
rnacentral:lncRNA from 1 species